CACCCGUUCCCAUGCCGAACACGGAAGUUAAGCACUUGAACGCCGAAAGUAGUUGGGGGCUUCCCCCUGUGAGGAUAGGACGUUGCCAGGC
rnacentral:rRNA from 1 species